rnacentral:rRNA from 1 species
UGCGUAGGUGGCGUGGUAAGUCGGGUGUGAAAUUUCGGAGCUUAACUCCGAAACUGCAUUCGAUACUGCCGUGCUUGAGGACUGGAGAGGAGACUGGAAUUUACGGUGUAGCAGUGAAAUGCGUAGAGAUCGUAAGGAAGACCAGUGGCGAAGGCGGGUCUCUGGACAGUUCCUGACACUGAGGCACGAAGGGCUAGGGAGGCAAACG